rnacentral:rRNA from 1 species
AUGAACGCUAGCGAUAGGCUUAACACAUGCAAGUCGAGGGGCAGCGAGGGUAGCAAUACCUGUCGGCGACCGGCGCACGGGUGAGUAACGCGUAUGUAACCUGCCCGCAACAGGGGGAUAACCCGGCGAAAGUCGGACUAAUACCGCAUAAAACAGGGGUCCCGCAUGGGAAUAUUUGUUAAAGAUUUAUCGGUUGCGGAUGGGCAUGCGUACCAUUAGGUAGUUGGUGAGGUAACGGCUCACCAAGCCUUCGAUGGUUAGGGGUUCUGAGAGGAAGGUCCCCCACACUGGUACUGAGACACGGACCAGACUCCUACGGGAGGCAGCAGUGAGGAAUAUUGGUCAAUGGGCGAGAGCCUGAACCAGCCAAGUCGCGUGAAGGAGGACUGCCCUAUGGGUUGUAAACUUCUUUUACAAGGGAAUAAAAUGAGAUACGUGUAUUUUAUUGCAUGUACCUUGGGAAUAAGCAUCGGCUAACUCCGUG